AUUGAACGCUGGCGGCGUGCUUCACACAUGCAAGUCGAACGAAGUGGCGAACGGGUGAGUAACGCGUAAUCAACCUGCCCUUCAGAGGGGGACAACAGUUGGAAACGACUGCUAAUACCGCAUACUGAAGGAGGGGAUUUCGUCGGAUUAGCUAGUUGGAGGGGUAACGGCCCAUCAAGGCGAUGCUCAGUAGCCGGUCUGAGAGGAUGACCGGCCACAUGGGGACUGUGACACUGCCCAGACUCCUACGGGAGGCAGCAGGGGGGAAUCGUCCGCGAUUGACGAAAGUCGGACGGAGCAACGCCGCGUGAGUGAUGACGGCCUUCGGGUUGUAAAGCUCUUUUAAUCGGGACGCGGUACCGGAAUAGAAAGCCACGGCUAACUACGUGCCAGCCGCCGCGGUAAUUC
rnacentral:rRNA from 1 species